UGGAAGCAGACGUUGCGGAGACACUGGCAGGGCACUUCCAGACUGCGGUGUUGGCUCUCCUGCAGGAGCCGCUGGACUACCUAGUGGACAACCUUCACGCUGCCAUCAUGAAAAUUGCACCUGAUCCUGCAAUCUUCGUUGAGCUGUUGUACGGACAAAACAGCGCAGCCCUACAGAACAUCAAGGAACACUACAACAAGAAGUACGGCCGCGAGCUGACACGAGCGGUGGCGCGCGAGCUGAACGGAGACUACCAGCGCCUGCUGAGCAUCCUGCUGAGCGGGGAGCGCGACGGCGACGGCCAGGCGGUCCACGAAGAGAGGGCGCUGCA